rnacentral:misc_RNA from 1 species
UGCCUUUGGUAGAGGAAAGUGCUAAAUAAUAAUCAAUUGUUAAAUUAUUGUGCAUUUCACUACUGGAACUGUAAUCAGAAAAGAUAGACAUGCUUAGCCAAUCUCUAUUUGAUUGAAUUGAAAGAUGUUUGUUAAGGCAUGGAUGCAAGCUAUAGAUUCUGAUACGGUCAAUAAAAGAGAAUUGCUUAACAAUUUUGCAAAAUGUAUUGGCGAGUAAGAACCGCAUUUGGUACUUUCCGGGCAACCGCCAGACGA